rnacentral:rRNA from 1 species
GAUGAACGCUGGCGGCGUGCCUAAUACAUGCAAGUCGAGCGAACAGAUGAGGAGCUUGCUCCUCUGACGUUAGCGGCGGACGGGUGAGUAACACGUGGAUAACCUACCUAUAAGACUGGGAUAACUUCGGGAAACCGGAGCUAAUACCGGAUAAUAUAUUGAACCGCAUGGUUCAAUAGUGAAAGACGGUUUUGCUGUCACUUAUAGAUGGAUCCGCGCCGCAUUAGCUAGUUGGUAAGGUAACGGCUUACCAAGGCAACGAUGCGUAGCCGACCUGAGAGGGUGAUCGGCCACACUGGAACUGAGACACGGUCCAGACUCCUACGGGAGGCAGCAGUAGGGAAUCUUCCGCAAUGGGCGAAAGCUUGACGGAGCAACGCCGCGUGAGUGAUAAAGGUCUUCGGAUCGUAAAACUCUGUUAUUAGGGAAGAACAAAUGUGUAAGUAACUAUGCACGUCUUGACGGUACCUAAUCAGAAAGCCACGGCUAACUACGUG